rnacentral:rRNA from 1 species
GACGUAGGGCGCGAGCGUUGUCCGGAUUUAUUGGGCGUAAAGAGCUCGUAGGCGGCUUGUUGCGUCAGCUGUGAAAACCCGCAGCUCAACUGUGGGCUUGCAGCUGAUACGGGCAGGCUUGAGUUCGGUAGGGGAGACUGGAAUUCCUGGUGUAGCGGUGAAAUGCGCAGAUAUCAAGAGGAACACCAGUGGCGAAGGCGAGUCCCUGGACGAUACCUGACACUGAGGCACGAAAGCUAGGGGAGCAAACAGG